rnacentral:rRNA from 1 species
AGAUGGCGACCGGCGCACGGGUGAGUAACACGUAUCCAACCUGCCGAUAACUCGGGGAUAGCCUUUCGAAAGAAAGAUUAAUACCCGAUGGCAUAAUUAGACCGCAUGGUCUUAUUAUUAAAGAAUUUCGGUUAUCGAUGGGGAUGCGUUCCAUUAGGCAGUUGGUGAGGUAACGGCUCACCAAACCUUCGAUGGAUAGGGGUUCUGAGAGGAAGGUCCCCCACAUUGGAACUGAGACCCGGUCCAA